UACGUAGGGUGCAAGCGUUAAUCGGAAUUACUGGGCGUAAAGCGUGCGCAGGCGGUUCUAUAAGACAGAUGUGAAAUCCCCAGGCUCAACCUGGGAACUGCACUCGAAACUACUUCCCUUGAGUGUCGGAGAGGAAAGCGGAAUACCUGGUGUAGAGGUGAAAUUCGUAGAUAUCAGGUGGAACGCCAGUGGCGAAGGCGGCUUUCUGGAUGAUAACUGACGCUGAGACGCGAAAGCGUGGGGAGCAAACAGG
rnacentral:rRNA from 1 species